GACGAACGCUGGCGGCGUGCCUAAUACAUGCAAGUCGAGCGGCAGCGCGGUCUUCGGACUGGCGGCGAGCGGCGGACGGCAGAGUAACGCGUAGGAACAUACCCCAAAGUGAGGGAUAACUGCCCGAAAGGGUGGCUAAUACCGCAUGUGAUCUUCGGAUUAAAGCUUUAUGCGCUUUGGGAAUGGCCUGCGUUGGAUUAGCUUGUUGGUGAGGUAAUGGCUCACCAAGGCGACGAUCCAUAACUGGUCUGAGAGGAUGAUCAGUCUGACUGGAACUGAGACACGGUCCAGACUCCUGCGGGAUGCAGCAGUGGGGAAUAUUGCACAAUGGGCGCAAGCCUGAUGCAGCCAUGCCGCGUGUAUGAAGAAGGCCUUCGGGUUGUAAAGUACUUUCAGCGGGGAGGAAGGGAGUAAAGUUAAUACCUUUGCUCAUUGACGUUACCCGCAGAAGAAGCACCGGCUAACUCCGUGCCAGCCGCCGCGGUAA
rnacentral:rRNA from 1 species